GACGAACCGUGCGAACGUUAUUCGGAAUCACUGGGCGUAAAGCGCACGUAGGCGGGUCGUUAAGUCAGGGGUGAAAUCCUGGAGCUCAACUCCAGAACUGCCCUUGAUACUGGCGAUCUCGAGUUCGGGAGAGGUGAGUGGAACUGCGAGUGUAGAGGUGAAAUUCGUAGAUAUUCGCAAGAACACCAGUGGCGAAGGCGGCUCACUGGCCCGAUACUGACGCUGAGGUGCGAAAGCGUGGGGAGCAAACAGG
rnacentral:rRNA from 1 species